GUCUCUUGGACCCCAUCCCGACGAGGCUGCUUAAAGACGUUUUCGAAGUAGAAACCGUUGAAGAUAAUUGGUCACGGUUGAUGGGAGAAAAGCCAUCCAAAUAUACACCAGGGCAUACAGCGGUUUUCAAGGCCAUUCCACUUGAGGACAGAUUGGCACUGGUUAAGGGCAAGAGAUUAUUAAUCUUGUCCCUAAUAGUUAAAAUCUUUUCAUUAAAGAAGUUCAUGAAGUCAUUACCACUGAGGUCUAUAGGAAUACUCGGCUCCACAGAGCUGUGACUCUCUGUCAGCCUGGCUACAGUGCUGAAGAGAAACCUGGGGUUGUUCUUAUUUUUCUCUAUUACUGAUGAGUAAUAG